rnacentral:misc_RNA from 1 species
GAUGAAGAACGUAGCGAAAUGCGAUAAGUAAUGUGAAUUGCAGAAUUCAGUGAAUCAUCGAAUCUUUGAACGCACAUUGCGCCCGUCAGUAUUCUGGCGGGCAUGCCUGUUCGAGCGUCAUUACGCCCCUCAAGUCCCCUGUGGACUUGGUGUUGGGGAUCGGCGAGGCUGGUUUUCCAGCACAGCCGUCCCUUAAAUUAAUUGGCGGUCUCGCCGUGGCCCUCCUCUGCGCAGUAGUAAAACACUCGCAACAGGAGCCCGGCGCGGUCCACUGCCGUAAAACCCCCCAACUGUAUAUAGUUGACCUCGAAUCAGGUAGGACUACCCGCUGAACUUAAGCAUAUCAAUAAGCGGAGGA